CCUCAUAUAAACCCAUGCACACCCAUCCACACACACUCUCUCACACACACUCUCUCUCACACACACACACACUCCGGCCGAGUACAGAACACACACAGAGAUGGACUUUCUGAAGGGAUCAGGGAAGCAGGUGGAUGCAGUGAUCGACAAAGCAGCUGUUGUGGUGAAGGAGAAGGUGGGAGAGAUGAUCGGAGGAGGAGCUAAGGAGGAGAAGAAAGACGAAGGUAUUGGUGGCAUGGUGUCUAAUGCAGUGAAAGGGGCUGCAGCAGAUGCUGCCAUGGACAAUGCUGCAGACAAGGCCAUGUCUUUUGGAAAGAGCCUUUUCAACUGAAUCCUCAACCAUGGACUGUACCAUGUCUCAACACCGGACCUUCCUUCCCAUCAACCAAUCCCGUCUUUAUACCAUCACUGAGAUCUGUAUAACGUGUAUAGGAUGUCAUAAACAUGAAUAAAACACCAAUCUUUCAACACUA